UGCCCCAUGGCUGAGUUGGUUACAGCGUCCGACUGUUAUACCUUGUGCAUCGGAAGGUCGUGAGUUCGAGCCUCACUGGGGCAG